CAGGCAGAGAUUGUCAAGCGUCUCAGUGCCAUCUGCGCUCAGAUCAUCCCUUUCCUCUCUCAAGAGCACCAGCAGCAAGUGGUCCAAGCAGUGGAGAGGGCCAAGCAAGUCACCAUGGCCGAACUUAAUGCCAUUAUCGGGCAGCAGCAGCUCCAGCACCUGUCUCACCACGCUCCCGGCAUCCCCCUGACGCCACACCCAUCAGGUCUGUCCCUGGGUGCGGGGGGCUCUGGGCUUCUGGCACUGACUGGAGCCCUGGGAGUCUCGGCUCACCUUGCCUCCAAAGAUGAAAGAAACCAUCUCGAUCCAGAACAUCUUAGAGAGGGAGCACCCAGCAGG